AAAAAAGCCGGAAUAGCUCAGUCGGUAGAGCAGAGGACUGAAA
rnacentral:tRNA from 9 species